ACCAUAUUAUUUGUAUAUCAAACGAUUUAGACACAUUAUUUACACAGCGCCUCUUUCUCUUCACUUCUGGUCUCUCUCUCGGUCUCUCCUCUUUCCUCUCUUUCUCUGAAUCGGUGAAAUUGGUGAAUCGACAACUCCCUCCUCUCUUAAAUCCACACCACACCUCGAGCCUUCAAGCGACCAGCGAAUAACAGUGAACACAAACCUUGAACAAUCGAAUGCACUUAAACCAGAAAAUAUGGAGGCUUUGGUAUGCACGAGGGACUGGCUUUUUGGUUUGAAAGAUACAAUGAAGCUUCAAGUAGAUGACUUGAUUGAUGAUGUGAUGAAACUUAAUAUCAACAAUGAUGACCCUACUGAAGGCCAAUGUUCCACUAGUGUUAGCGUGACCGACCAUUAAAAUCCAGAAUUUGUACUUUUGGAUGUUUCAGAAAACAGUGCAUGCAGAUUGCAAGAGAAGUUUUUGAGUUGUGGAUCUUUGGCUUUUAAGAAGAUUACAUGUUAUCCUGACGUUUCUAUUAAAUAUUUUAAUUUUGAUCUGUAAUAACUCAUGGCUUAUCUUUAUUUCAGUUUGUAACUUGUGACUUGUGACUUAAUCUUUAUCUUUAACUUUUAAUCUCU